GGUCGCAGUUGUAAAUGAGAACUUGUUCUCAACUGGCUGAAUAAAGAGAAUACUUCAAAAUGAGAAGGUCCUGCCAUGGAAAAGACGACAUAAAGUGGAAAGGAGGGGAAAUAACUCCCACCAUGCAGCAGGACACCUUCAGCUGUGGGGUCUUUGUAAUGCAGAUGGCCAAGGAAGUUGGACAGAACUUCCCCAACAUCCCCUCCCAAAUUGAUAUGGAACCUUCAAAAACACAUGGAGCAACUGCGAAAAGAAAUGUCUGAGGAUAUACUAAAAAUGUCUGGUAUGUAAUGACAUUUAAUUCAAAGUAAAUGUAAAUUCUUUAUUUUGAUGUAGUUGUGUGGGACAGCCAUAUGUUCAGUUCAUGCCUAUGAUUUCAGAGUUCAACAAAGCCAACAACUGCUUCAUGUGUGCCACUGAUAAAGAACCUGGAUGUGGCCCAAAAACUGACUGGGUUAGUAACUUUAUGUAACAUGUUUAUAAUCUUUUGACAGCAGUGACGGCAUGGAAUACAAUUUAUGAUAUAACACAAUGGACGGCUAAUUCGUCAUUCGUCGUCGUUGAUAUCUGAUUUUAUUUACAACGUGUUACGCUUGGUUUUGUUUUGAUUGGAUGUUUUGCAUGCCAACGGUGGUUCCAUGUGCUGUAACUAGGAAGGAAGACAAAAGAGUUCAACAGAGUAAAGAACACAAACUGGAAGUGCAGUUUUUGUUGUCGAAAAUGUAUGCUAUACCCCAUCCACACUGAAGAGGCUCUGACAUGUACAUCAACCAGGGAUAAAGAGAAAGUUAACACUGUAAAAUGUUUCAUACUUAAUUGAAGUUAAGUGUCUGUUGACAUGUUGGAAAAGAUUAAAGGUC